GUGAUCCACUGUUUUGAAUCUUAACAUUUUUGGUUGUGCAAUUCGUCAAGACAGUUUUUUACUAUCUAGACAGCAAUUCCAUCAAGAUCAGAUAUCUUGGCGUCAGUGGAUGCUGUAAAUGCAAGUAGAGAAAUGUGUCACUGAAAGUUUGUUCACCUAAAGGAAACAUCUGCUCGGCGGUGGACGUGGGAUUAAUUCAGUCAAAUCUAAAGUGUUAAAACUUCAACCCUCUGCCAACUGCUCAAGGGAUUAUUUCAAAUUCAAGAGGACAUUCAAGGUGGAAAUAAACCUCAAUAACUGUCUUUGGAAAACGACUACGUCCCCUAGGUUUUUCCAAGCCGCUAUCAAAGUGUAAAAGAAAGCUGAAGCUCGAUCAAAAGAGGUGAGCAGAGACAUAAGACUGGUCAGGUUGCUUGUCUUAAUAUUCAUCGGAGGAGGACCAAGAGUGCCUCGUCUUUAGAUUGCUUCAGCGAAUAACAAACCGCAGUACGUGUUGAAGCUCUUACGUGUUGGUCGAUUGACAUCACAAGGCUAACAAGCUAAGUGACAACAGAUCUAACAAACAGAAUCAAACUGGAUCAAACUCCUUCAAACCAAACAGCCUACAGAAAUGUUUCACCAAGAGAAAAAACAUGCACUGACGGUCGCAUUGGCUAGGAGUCUUUCCAAGUAAAGAUUGUCAUUGAAAAACUCGGCGUUUGAAGCGUCCAGCAAAGGGACUGAUUCAUAGUUAUAAAUUACACUGAAACCGCAUAUACCUUGUUUGAUGAUUUGAAGACAUCCUGCAACUGCAAAAAGGGCAUAUAUUAAGAGCUAUUUCAAGCCAUGCUAAAUGAGAUCGAUCCCGAGUGAAGAAAACUUUACGACUGAAAUUAGAGUGGGGAUAGCUGUGGAUCCUUUCAAAAAGAAAAGGGUGAAAAAGUUCAAGUAGCAAAGUUUGGUGCCUUGUAUAAGAAAAGAGAAACUUUGAAAAACAAUAAUGGUAGACUAAAAUAAGCGCGUGGCUGAAAAAUAUACUCAAAAUAAAAUGAAAAAGUCCAAAGUCGUUUAUGUUAACUUUUCUAAAGAAAUGCUGCCCAUGAACCAUCAGAACAAAGCCGCUGUGUUUACAAACACGAAGCGGGAAAACAGCUGACUCGAAAAACCCUAUGUUAAACCUUUUAUUAGAAGAAAAACUCGAAUGAAUAGCUUUU
rnacentral:misc_RNA from 1 species